GUGUGACUUUAGGGGAAGGGGCAGCACUAGAAGGAGGUACCACUUUGGAAAGAGCUGCCACUGUAUUAAGAGGUGGGGCUUUAGGAGGAGGUGCAGCAUUAGGAGGUGCAGAUAUAUGAAGAAGUGUGGCUUUAAGAUGAGGCAGAACUUUAGAAGGUGCGACUUUAGCAGGUGUGGCUUUAGGAUGAGAUGCUGCUUUGGGAAGAGGUGCAGCUCUAGGAGGUGCGGCAUUUGAAGGAGGUGCAACUAUCUGAAAAACUACAACUUCAGGAGGCAGUGCAGAUUUAGGACAAGGUGCCGCUUUGCGAAGAAGUGCAGCUGUAAAAGGAGGAAUGAUGUUAGGAUAUACAGCUGUAAGAGGUGCUGCUUUAGGAGGUAUGAUUUUAGGAGAAGGUGCAGAUUUAGGAUGAGGUGCAGCAUUUGAAGGAGGCUCAGCUAUAUGAAGAAUUGUGACUUUAGGAUGAGGUGCAGAUUUAGGAUGAGGUGCCGCUUUGGGAAGAGGUGCAGCUGUAAAAGAAGGAACGAUUUUGGGAGGAGGUGCAACUAUAUGAAGAGGUGCCGCUUUAUGAGGUGCAGAUUUAGGAUGAGGUGCAGAUUUAGGAUGAGGUGCAGAUUUAGGAUGAGGUGCCGCUUUGGGAAGGGGUGCAUCUGUA